UGGGGAAUUUUGGACAAUGGGGGCAACCCUGAUCCAGCAAUGCCGCGUGAGUGAAGAAGGCCUUCGGGUUGUAAAGCUCUUCUGUCAGGAAAGAAAUCGCCUUGGCCAAUACCUGGGGUGGAUGACGGUACCUGAAGAAUAAGCACCGGCUAACUACGUGCCAGCAGCCGCGGUAAUACGUAGGGUGCAAGCGUUAAUCGGAAUUACUGGGCGUAAAGCGUGCGCAGGCGGUUGUGCAAGACAGAUGUGAAAUCCCCGGGCUUAACCUGGGAACUGCAUUUGUGACUGCACGGCUAGAGUGUGUCAGAGGGGGGUAGAAUUCCACGUGUAGCAGUGAAAUGCGUAGAUAUGUGGAGGAAUACCGAUGGCGAAGGCAGCCCCCUGGGAUAACACUGACGCUCAUGCACGAAAGCGUGGGGAGCAAAC
rnacentral:rRNA from 1 species